GGAUGGUGUAUACUCGGUUUGAUG
rnacentral:miRNA from 10 species